CAGUCCUUCCUGUAAGAAAAAUUGUCAUUCCAGGCUAACUUCAAAUAAUGCCUUUCUGCCUUAACAAAUUUCAAUCCAGACUAUAACACAAUGGAGUAUUUAUCUUGACUAAAAUGGCCCCAUAUCUGUGCUUGAGUGUCAGUCUUUGUCACAUCAGUGUGAUAGCACUAAGUGUUUAGCUUGAAUAAAGUGGUUCCCCGUCCUUUGAUAAUACAACUCAUGAGUCCUUCACCAAAUCAAUCUCUCUUGGAUGCGGUUUCUCUAGUGUAAAAGAAGGAGAUUGUGACAGCUAAUCUCCCAAGCCCAGUUCCAGGCUGAGUCAAAACAUGACCUCUUACUCUGUGUUAAGAUUGAAGCUACCUAGAAACACCUAACAAAAUCAAAAUUUAAAUAAAUCUGUAUCACAAAAUACCAUAAACAAAGUUCAAAGAGAAAUGAAAGA
rnacentral:lncRNA from 1 species